AGGGUUCGAUUCCGGAGAGGGGGCCUGAGAAAUGGCUACCACAUCCAAGGAUGGCAGCAGGCGCGCAAAUUACCCACUCCCAGCUUGGGGAGGUAGUGACGAAAGAUAACAAUGCGGGACUCUAAGAGGCCCCGUAAUUGGAAUGAGUACACCUUAAAUCGUUUAACGAGUUCAAUUGGAGGGCAAGUCUGGUGCCAGCAGCCGCGGUAAUUCCAGCUCCAAUAGCGUAUAUUAAAGUUGCUGCAGUUAAAAAGCUCGUAGUUGGAUCUGGGGCUUGAGGUCGCUGUCUAUCGUUUCGGCGAUGACGGUGAUGCUCAGCUCUGCUUGCCGGUGACUGUUGCGGUGUUCUUCACUGAGCGCUGUAGCAGCACGGCACGUUUACUUUGAAAAAAUUAGAGUGCUCAAAGCGUGCUUGUCGCUUGAAUAAUGUUGCAUGGAAUAAUGGAAUAGGACCUCGGUUCUAUUUUGUUGGUUUUCGGAGCUUGAGGUAAUGAUUAAGAGGGACAAACGGGGGCAUUCGUAUUGCGGUGUUAGAGGUGAAAUUCUUGGAUCGCCGCAAGACGGACUACUGCGAAAGCAUUUGCCAAGAACGCUUUCAUUAAUUAAGAACGAAAGUCAGAGGUUCGAAGACGAUCAGACACCGUCCUAGUUCUGACCAUAAACGAUGCCGACCAGCGAUCCGUAGUGGUUGCUUUAUGGACCCUACGGGCAGCCUCCGGGAAACCAAAGUAUUUGGGUUCCGGGGGAAGUAUGGUUGCAAAGCUGAAACUUAAAGGAAUUGACGGAAGGGCACACCAGGAGUGGAGCCUGCGGCUUAAUUUGACCCAACACGGGAAAACCCACCCGGUCCGGACACCGUAAGGAUUGACAGACUGAUAGCUCUUUCUUGAUUCGGUGGAUGGUGGUGCAUGGCCGUUCUUAGUUGGUGGAGUGAUUUGUCUGGUUAAUUCCGAUAACGAACGAGACUCUAGCCUGCUAAGUAGUGUUGCUAUUGUUAUAUGGUUGACACUUCUUAGAGGGACAAGUGGCAUUUAGCCACGCGAAAUUGAGCAAUAACAGGUCUGUGAUGCCCUUAGAUGUCCGGGGCCGCACGCGCGCUACACUGGAGAAGUCAGCGUGUGUUAUCCAAGUCCGAAAGGACUGGGUAAUCCGUUGAACCUUCUUCGUGCUUGGGACUGUGGCUUGGAACUAUUCCACAUGAACGAGGAAUUCCUAGUAAUUGCAAGUCAUAAGCUUGCGUUGAUUACGUCCCUGCCCUUUGUACACACCGCCCGUCGCUACUACCGAUUGAAUGGUUUAGCAAGGUCCUCGGAUCGUGGCCGUAGGGGCACGCAAGUGUUUCUGCGGUUUGCGAGAAGACGACCAAACUUGAUCAUUUAGAGGAAGUAAAAGUCGUAACAAGGUU
rnacentral:rRNA from 1 species